AAUAUUGCACAAUGGAGGAAACUCUGAUGCAGCGACGCCGCGUGAACGAUGAAGGCUUUCGGGUUGUAAAGCUCUUUCGGACGGAAAGAAAUCGCGCAGGCUAAUACCCUGCGCGGAUGACGGUACCGUCAUAAGAAGCACCGGCUAACUACGUGCCAGCAGCCGCGGUAAUACGUAGGGUGCGAGCGUUAAUCGGAAUUACUGGGCGUAAAGCGUGCGCAGGCGGUUGAUUAAGACAGGCGUGAAAUCCCCGGGCUUAACCUGGGAACUGCGCUUGUGACUGGUCAGCUAGAGUACGGCAGAGGGGGGUGGAAUUCCACGUGUAGCAGUGAAAUGCGUAGAGAUGUGGAGGAACACCGAUGGCGAAGGCAGCCCCCUGGGCCGAUACUGACGCUCAUGCACGAAAGCGUGGGUAGCAAACAGG
rnacentral:rRNA from 1 species